UCACAACCCUAAACACCAUAAAGACUGCUUACUUAAGUUGAAACGUGUAUAUUUUGGGUGCUUACAGCUUAUAUGUUUUAAUGGAGAAAAAAACAGUGGAGUUGGUUGGUGGAUCUAGAUCGGAGGAGGAAUGGCCCCGUUCGUCGCCGCUCAUCGGCACCGGCGCCGCAGAGGGCGAUCGGACCACGACCCAACCAAGCCCAGCUUCGGCUUCGGCACCAGGGGAUCGCAACCCACAUCUUCGAGAGCACUGUGGGAUUUGUUUUUUUGUUUUACCGAUGGGGAGGUCCAGAGGGCAAGGAAUGGGAGAGCAUCGAUGGAUUGACGGAUCAGGCCCGGGCGGGACGAGUCUAACGUUCAUCGACUGAUCGGUCCUCGGUGCGGCGGCACCUGCUGCAGCAGAUCAGGCACGACACGGAUGCAAGACUGGUUGGUGCCGGGGAUGAUCUCGCGACAUCGGGCGGUGAAUCCACAACCUAGCGGGGUCUGAGCCAACCAAGGCUUCUUUCCAUGCUUGUUGGAGUUGCAGUUCCAGGGACCAUGGGAUCGUGGCUAUUCUAUAUCCUGAGUGAUGCGGGAAAAUAGUGUAAGAGAGUGUUGGAGCCCAGUUGGGCGAUCGGCAAGGGGGGCUGCUCACUUAAUUUUAUAUGGGUGAGGGGAAGUCCUUUCUUCAACUGUCUCUUCCAUGGUGAUCUGGAUGGGGGCCAUCUAAUCCACACGGUUCAAUUAUUGGAACCGCCACUUGCUUUCCUUUUCAGUUGUCCUCGUGUUGUCCAGAUUAAGAUACAUCUAUUUUAUGUUUGUGUAUUUAUAUAUGUUCUUUCUUCCUAUCUUUCUCUUUCUCUUUUUUUCUCUCUCUCCAGAUAGUUAUACUAGAGGCUCCCUGGUGGUCAAAUAAUUGCGACCACUGUGUUGUUCCAGGUUUGCCUUUUCCUCCACAGUGACACUUUUAGGUCUGGAGAAAUAAACAUGUAUUCUUACACACUGCUGCACGGAUGGUUUGAAGGGUCGGACGAGCGCUGGACGGCUUCUAAUUUAUGCUCCCCACACAAGGGAGAACUUGUGGAGCACUUUAGCGCAGUGGGUUCUAUGAUGUUGUCCGGAGUCGUUCACCGCAUUCUAAUCAUCCAGCGCAUGAGUCUGCAGAGAUUGCCUUCGAUCUCACUUAAAUGGUGCUACGCAGAAGAGGGAACGAGGGUGUUGGCUGGCCACGAGAAUAAUUUUGUCCGACAGUGGAGCUACGAUCCAAAACAUCCAACAUGCUAAUUAAUCUAGUACGGUGGAAGGAAUUCGUCAGACGGUGGAAAAAUUGGAAUUCCAUCCAAAUCAUGGGCUCAGGAGCUCAGUCGUCAUGAGUGCGGACCCGAGAGAACGAAAUAGAUUAAUAUUCUCUGGAAGAUAAGAUCCUCGGGAGCCGGUGGGUACUAUUCUGAACACACUACUUUACAGCUAACCGAGGAAGUGGUUUGGUGUUUUACGAGGUCAUGCUAUUGACUUUUAGCGCAUGAUCAAGGCUUUCUGUGGUUAGGAGCACAAUGAAGGUUCGGAUGGCGCUGGGGGUAGUGAAUGGGGGAAAAAAACAAAAACGGCCAAACAUUGUCUUGGAACUUUGGUCUCUCAUGAAUCAUCAAGGACAGACGUGAUUGCUGCAUCUAGCAUGUCUCGAAAUUAAUCUAUUUGGCAAUAAGUUCUGGAAUUGCGGCUCAAAAGACCAGUUUUGUUACAAAUCAGUGCAUCUUGUGGGGGGUCUGAAAAACUGACACCAGUUCAUAAGGUUCGGUGUCGAGUUUCAAAGCGGUGCGUUGAGUCGGUUGUUCAAUUCUGUGUGACACAUGGAUUAAUUACUGCUAGGUUUUAGUUUUUCUAGACUGUAAGCAAAGAUCUGGAUUUUCGAAGACGAAGAUGAUGAGAAAGCACACAACGAAAGCGACCUUAGCGGACGGUGGCGCAAAAUCAUUAUUAUUUUGGUGAAUUCCAAGUUUGAACAAGAGAGCAUAGCUAGUCGAAAUAUAAAUAUUCCUCGCUGAUUAAUUCCACCCAAUCAAUUUGAUAGCGUAAGAUGAUAAGUUUGAACGAACCUAGGGGGAAGAUCAUGAAGAGAACUUGCUCCUUCAGAUGAACAGUAGCUUGUUCUAAUGUUCGACUUGACCAUCUGAAAUUUCCAUACAACAAAAGGUUU